CCCCUUCCUCUUUUUACCGUGGCACCACUCUCGUCCCCGUCCCUGUCCCCAUCCCCAGCCCCAGUUCCCAUGGCACCAGAGUCUCCGUCACUGUCCCCAACCCCAGCCCCAGUUCCAAUGGCACCACAGUCUCCGUCACUGUCCACAACCCCAGCCCCAACGGGCAGAGCACGGUCGUCAGUGAAGCUGAAGGCAAGGACGUGGCUUGCUCUUAUACAGAAUAUUUAUAUUUGGCCUUCCUAUAAUUGAAACCUACCUAAUUAAGGUUUGUUAUGGUUCUUUUCCAAUGUGUCAUGCUUAGAUCCAUUUCAAUCUAUUCUAAAAAACAAAAACACAAAAAAAUGGAAAUUUCUGGUAGGGUUCUAAUAAGUAUAAUCCUGUUACAAGUGUUACCGAAUUGGUCGUUAGUGAAGCUGAAGGCAAGGCCGUGCCUUGCUCUUAUACAGAAUAUUUCUAUUUGGCCUUCCUAUAAUUGAAACCUACCUAAUUAAGGUUUGUUAUGGUUCUUUUCCAAUGUGUCAUGCUUAGAUCCAUUUCAAUUUAUUCUAAAAAAAAACACAAAAAAAUGGAAAUUUCUGGUAGGGUUCUAAUAAGUAUAAUCCUGUUACAAGUGUUACCGAAUUGGUCGUUAGUGAAGCUGAAGGCAAGGCCGUGCCUUGCUCUUAUACAGAAUAUUUCUAUUUGGCCUUCCUAUAAUUGAAACCUACCUAAUUAAGGUUUGUUAUGGUUCUUUUCCGUUGCAAUUUAUUCUAAAAUACAAAAACAAAAAAAUUAUGAAAAUUUGUGGUAGGGUUCUAAUAAGUACAAUCCUGUUACAAGUGUUACCGAAUCGAUUCAUUCUUUGAUUCAUUACUCCUUUUCAUAAAUCAAAUUCACUUAAAACUUGUGAAUUAGCUAUCAAUCAUAUCUUACUUUUUAUUAUUCUUAUCUACAGGAAAAUGUCUUAUCAUAGAUGACAAUAGUAACAGUAGGGAUAUUAGAACUCUGGAAUUUCUUUAAAGAUGACUUGCAUGCUGCUUUCUAGUUCACCAGCGUGUUAUAAAUUGCUCAAAUAUAUUUACCAGCAAAGCUCUUGGCGAUUAAGUUGUUGUUACAUGUGUAAAAAAUGUUUCUUUUACAUAUGUGUCAAUAUCUCGAAAAGUUUUUCCUUGACUUCAGGCAUUAACAUACUAGGAUAUUAAUUGGGGUUUGACCUCACUAUUUUUCAAGGAAAUUUUCUUGCCAAACUGCACUGCUCCAUUUCCAAUAUAUGCUUUUACUUAAAAUUUAGGGUAACUAAGAAAAAAAGAAGGAUAUCUGUUUUCAUUACUUUUCAGCAGCUGUACAUAUCUGUGCUUGUUUUAGGAGUUCUUAUUGCACUGGUUAUUUACAGGAUUGUACCUUUCCAUAUAUAGACAAUAGCAACAUUAGGGAGGAUAGGAACUGUGUGAUUUGCUUUGAUAAGUCUUUCCUUCUGCUAUCUUAUUCACCACAUCUUUGUAGAACUAUGCAUUACUUGCAAAAUUAUAUUUAGUUUCAAAAGUUCUUGAUGGCUCUUCGUUUGUUUUGCAUAUACAAAAAAAGGGAUAUUAGACAUAUGUGCCUAUGUCUUCAAAGGACUUUUCUUGACUUGAACAUUAGCAAGCUAGAAAAGAUAUCUGCGUUUGAACUUCACUCUUUCCAAAGGUUGCAAAAGGCCCUCACCUGAAAUGGUGUCCACCUUGAUUGAAGAUUUCCUCGGAGGCAGGCUGACGAAAUACUCUAGAAGUGGAAGGAGCAAUGAAGCCCUUGGAGCCCAAACAGAAGUUCUUAAGCCCUGGAUUAUUAGUUUUGUUUUUAUGCCUGUAAUAUUUCAGAAGUUAGAACUUGCCUGUGGCAAUCUUGUUGUGUACGAAACUAUGAAUCUACUAAUAUUUGGUGGCAUAAUAUAUCUGAAUUUUUUUACUCCCUCCGAUCCGAUUUGUUUGUCACAGGUUUAUGCAAAACUUUGCCUAAGCCUAAUUUUGCCUAAACUGUGACUGUUAUAUUGGAUCAGAGGGAGUAUUUGUUUUGGAGA